rnacentral:rRNA from 1 species
CCUACGGGUGGCAGCAGUGGGGAAUAUUGCACAAUGGGGGAAACCCUGAUGCAGCGACGCCGCGUGAGUGAAGAAGUAUUUCGGUAUGUAAAGUCCUGUUAGUAGGGAAGAAAAUGACGGUAUCUGACGAAGAAGCCCCGGCUAACUACGUGCCAGCAGCCGCGGUAAUACGUAGGGGGCAAGCGUUACCCGGAUUCACUGGGUGUAAAGGGAGCGUAGACGGCAGGGCAAGUCAGAUGUGAAAGGCGGGGGCUCAACCCUCGGACUGCACUGGAAACUUUCAGGCUGGAGUGUGGGAGAGGUAAGUGGAAUUCCUAGUGUAGCGGUAAAAUGCGUAGAGAUUAGGAGGAACACCAGUGGCGAAGGCGACUUACUGGACUGUAACUGACGUUGAGGCGCGAAAGCGUGGGGAGCAAACAGGAUUAGAUACCCGAGUAGUC